GAGGGUAUCUGUUGUUGGAGUUUCCUGUGUGUUUCAUGUUUUCUGUUGUUUCAGGGAGGAGAUGUGGCCCUGGGGUUAGGAGCUGAGAGAAGAGAGUUCUGCCAGAACUCUGGGAUCAGCACAUCACAGCUUUGUAGAUGAAACACUGGCAAUCGCAGCAUGACCAAAAAAAGGGACAGCACUGGCAAUUCCCAAAGAUCCCUGCCAUGAAGGGUGUACCUCAGAGCUGGUUCAACAGGGUAAGAUGAGGAGAAGAAAUUGGGAUUGUUUCCUUUAGAAAGAACAGGCUACUCAGGGAGGUGGUGGAGUCCCCAUUCCUGAAAGCUUUCAAGAACUGUAGAGAUGUGGCAGUGAGGGGUGCAGGCAUGGUCGGGGUGCAUUGCGUUUGGAUUUGGAAAAGACCUCUCAGAUCCCCAACCUUAAUGACUCAGUGAUUCUAAACCACCCCCCACCAUCCAGGAAGAGCCAGGCAGUGCUGACCCAGCCUCAAAGCUAAGGACAGAACAAUCUCUCCAGAUCUUCUCAGCUGCCUACAUCACAACUGCUUCUAACCUGGUAGUGACACUGGAGAAAUUCAGAGCACCCUCUGUGUAAACACUCUUGAGGUUUAGAGUUUAGUCAACAGAAACCACCUGUUUUUGUGAGCCUCUCUGCCCAUAAACAUUCACCAGCCAUCCCCUUGGCAUCUCCCCUGACCUCCCAGGAGUCGCAAGAAGUGGGAGGAAAGACAUCAGCACGCAAUAAGCUGUUAUGAUCAGGACAAGAAGCAAUUGGUGCUUGGAACAGCUGUGAGAGCAGGAUCCUAAACCCAAAGCAGGGCUUGGGAUCCCCUGGGGAGCAGCCCCAAGCCAAGGUCCAACUCAACUCAAAUAGAACUGGGUCCCAAGACCACGUGUAGAAGUGUGCAGGGACAGCAGGUGAUGCUGGCUUAGGAGGAUGAGCUAUGCCUUCCCAGGCAAAGAGAAAAGAUAAAGAGCUUCCCAAUGCAGUCAUUUCUCUUCUGGGAUAACCAUAGAAAAUCUGCCAUCCAUUAUGAACCUUAACCAAUCUCAAAACUACAAACAUUCAUUUUGAUGGAAAUGGUAAAAAAAUAAAAUAAAAUAAAAAUUUCCUCUUCACUGCAGAAGUUGUUGCCCCAGCUUUCACUUCUUCAUUUAGAUGAGAGUCGAAUGGAACUUCUUACUGGAUGCUGAUGAAGAAGUUCCUAUUCUAACUGGAAAAGAGGAUAUUUCGAUGAAUUACACAGAAUUGCAGCUCAGCAAAAAGUAGAAAGCUUGUGUUAGAGUGUAUUUAAGGAAUUUAAUAUAAGGAAGUGAUCUAAAGGGAGAGUGAAGAAAUGACUUAUGGUUUUAAUUCGCCUGUGGUAGAAUACAUCUGUAUUCAUAUGACUUUCUAAUGUGGCAGAGAAAUCAAAAGCCAGUGUGGAGAGAGAAAGAGAGAAAGCACAACUUGAUUUCUCGUUGGGAGCACUUCCAAGUGAAGAUUUCAGAAUAGCUGCUGGGGGCACAGCAGGGCAGAAAACACAGCUUUACAAAUAAAAAUGCAAAAAAAGGUAGCUGAAGAUGAAGUGCCUUUUGUUGAUGUGAAGGCAAGUCGAAAAAGUUAUGGUCAAAUAUGCAGCACAAUUAAGUGUUGUAGCAGCAGAUGGGUGCAUAGGUGACCAGCCAGAUCUAUGGAAAGAGGAGAAGGCUGCCUUAGUGUUGACUGGCUUUAGGAAACCUUCCCCAGCUCUGCAUUGUUUGCCCAGAGGAAAAUGCCCACUGGUUGAUGAAAGUAGGAUGUAUUAACAGCCACAGGUCAAGGCAGAGGAAUAUCCUUGCACCUCUUCUGGGAGAUGCUGCCAGACUUCUGGACCCCUGUGCACUGCAGCUCUCCUGCCUUCACUGUGCUCCAGUAUGGGACAGAAGGAAACACAGAGCAAGGAAACCACAGGCAAGAAGAAUUGAAAGAAACUGCCAACACCACAAUCCUGUGCAAGUGCAGUGAAAGCCACGCGUUAUGCAACAUCCGUCUGGGAAGCAACACUUGUCAUUGAUAAAAAUUAUGCAAAGAAGUCCCGUGGCUGGAGGAAAAGGAAAAUGCAGAUCAGCCAAACGGCCUCGCCCUGCAGUGAGACGCUGCUGACCUUCUCAUACAUCGUUAUACAGAGAAAUCCAGCAAAGCUAAAUUCCUAAACCAACUCCUGCUGAUAUCUUUUUUAUUUGAAGCCUUGGGUGCUAUCAUCACACCCAGGAUCUUGUGCCAUGCCCUGCAGAGACCCACAACAGGUAUCUUUCUAUGGUCUUAAAUCCAACUCAUGGCUGUUCUCCCUCCUUCUUGAGUCCACUCUGAGCUGAAAACACUCAGUUCCACAGCCAGGGGCAUGGGGACCCAGGACUCAAGUAUCUCUUGCUCCUUGAAUAAAGUAAAUACACUUAAAGUAGAAGUACAUAUAAUAAUGGGAAAUGAAUGAAACACUUUGUGCAAGGAACAAGUGUUUAUAUAAGAAAGAAGAACCCUACUUCACAUAAAUAUAAAUACAUACACUCAACAAAUAGCAGGAUUCUAAGCACAAGGUACAGCAAAAUACUCAAGUCAGAAGCUGAUUUGCCAGCCCACAGGCAGCUCCUUGCCACAGUGUCAAACUUUGCUCUAUUCCACUACCACCAAGCAGCCCCCACAUUUUCCCCUAUGCUGCCCCACAUUUAGUGCUUUGCCUCUUACAGCUUGCACCUGGAGUCCCAACUUCAGCCCUGCAGUCAGGUGGAGCAAAAACCUGGGGCUGCUUCUCUGCAGCUUUGGCUCUGCAAGGACACAUGGACUCUGGUCCCCACAGUUACAUGCCCUAUAGCUCUUCUGCAUGAUUUGGCUGAGGCAGCAGCUCUCA